rnacentral:rRNA from 1 species
AUUGAACGCUGGCGGCGUGCUUAACACAUGCAAGUCGAUCGGUAACGCGGGGGCAACCCUGGCGACGAGAGGCGGACGGGUGAGGAACGCUUGGGAAUCUGCCCUUCAGCGGGGGACAACACGGGGAAACUCGUGCUAAUACCGCAUACGCUCCACGGAGGAAAGCCGGGGACCGCAAGGCCUGGCACUGAAGGAUGAGCCCAAGUCGGAUUAGCUAGUUGGCGGGGUAACGGCCCACCAAGGCGACGAUCCGUAGCUGGUCUGAGAGGACGAUCAGCCACACCGGAACAGAGACACGGUCCGGACUCCUACGGGAGGCAGCAGUGGGGAAUAUUGGACAAUGGGGGAAACCCUGAUUCAGCGACGCCGCGAGGGUGAAGAAGGCCUGCGGGUUGUAAAGCCCUUUCGGUAGGGGAGAAAUCUCUUGUCUUAACACGGCAAGGGUUUGACUUAACCUACAUAAGAAGCACCGGCUAACUCUGUGCCAGCAGCCGCCGUAACAC